UUCAGUGCAUUCCGUUGAUGUAGACGGCGUGAAAACGGAAACUACAAGUAUGCCGGCUCACUGUGCUGCAUACAGUUACACACUACGUCGUACGAUUGAGACAAGGAAACUUGGAAUGACUUUUCAUAGGUUUCCCAGAGACUAUGGGUUGAGGAGGAAGUGGAAGUUUGUCGGCUUAGACCUGGUGUCAUUCCAUCAGUGUUAAACUUCCCGGCUCAUCUUGGAAGAGUAUGUGCCAGAAAGACCACGACCAAGCAGCCUUGAGAUCUUAGGCAGCGUCUCCCUGAGGUCCCUCUCUAUCUCCCCACACAUCCACCAACCACUGGAACACAUCUCCAAAGUUCUGCCGGGCCAGCUCAGCUUCCCCUCAGAAGAAGUGCCGCCACCUGACAGAUGAAGGAGCCUUUUGAGAGGCAGCUGGCAUCGUGAUUGGACUGUGCUUUGGUCUGUUCCAAUCCAGCUUCAGCUCCAGAGACGGCAGGCGGGACGAGUCAACGGAGGCCGGGUGGAUGAAGACAUGCAGCUGAGUACAAUCCAGAAAACAACAGAAGAGGAGUGCAGCAUCCCAGGGCCAGAACAACCAGAGUAGCAUCGUAUGCCUCUUAGAAAACAUCAUAGUAUAGCCUUUGUUAUGAAAAAAACGCCAUCAUAUACAUCGUAUAUUAUACAAAUGACAAGUCAAAGGAAAGAGACAUACAUUGUAGAAUUGUAGUAAUUGUGGGCUGACUGAUUUACUGAUUAUCAGUAUUUUAUUUUUUACUGAUUUACAGUAAUAAAUAAAUUUAAAAAUGGUGCUACUUUGGCUCUGAACCUCUAUCUACCUGUGGUCGCUCUGUCUUCUGGAGUGAUUUGAUUGGUUAUACGUAACGAAUAAAACUCCUUUAACUUAACAUCUGUAAACAAAACAAAAACGUAUCAACAAAGUUUUCUGUUAGAGUUUGUGUUCUUCUAAGUUUAACUCAAGAUUUUAAACACUUUCAUUUACUGCAAAUGAAUAUCUACUCCAAGUGUCUCACUAAUAAUCAUUAUCAGCCUUAAAAACCCACAAAACACCCCUCUAUACUCGACCACACUUAGUACAGUCUGGUUCCCCCUUCUAUAAAUCUGCUUGGAAUCUUCCACUUCCUGUUUGUCAAAGUGGCCUUCUACCUGGACAGGUUUUGUUGGAGCUCAUGCAACAAACAUUUUGGGUAACUGCACUUUAAUAUGGAUGGAUGACACUGAAUUAGAGUCUGUUUUAAUGAGACUGAGUUAAGAUGUGUAGCUCUGUCAUUAAAUAGUAAAUUAUUUCUCAGAAUUCACAGAGAAAAGUCUGAAAUGUUUGCUAGGUUAGCGUCCCACAUGUUCUUUGGCUCAGCUAAAGCUAACUCUCUCCAACUUCUGGAUCUCUUGAGUUGCUUGUUGUUAAAAUAUCUUGCUAGAGGUGCUGAAGCUCAGAAAGUCUGAGAUGUUUGUUCAAAAUAAGCUCAUUCUCAAGUCUGAUCUGAACUGUCCUCUUUUGUUUGAACUUUCCCUAAACUUAGGAGUUAAUGACAGAGCAGCACAUCCAGACUCAGUCUCAUUUAUGUAGAGAUUAAACUUCAGUGUCAUUCAUUGAUGUUAAAGUGCAGUUUUUCAAAUGUUUGUUGCACAUGCUCCCGACCAAACCAGUCCAGGUGGAAGACGAUGUGAAGAGAAAGCUCCAGAGGAUGAAUAUCACACAUUUACGUUGGAAAUAAAUGUCCUUUAAUUAGACAUUGUCAUGCAAAAGUUGGAUUUCCCUUUAAUGAUGUUCAAAUCUUUGUUGAGUGUUUUGUUGAUGUUGGUUUCUAAAUGUUUUUUGACACUCGGCCCCAAAGAUUAAAACCUUCUACGGCUCACAAGCUGCAACAAUUCACACAUUAUCAACUAUCUUUCUGACUAAACUAAGAUAAAAAGUGAAAAACUGCCUGAUUCCUGCAUCAUGAAUGUAAAUCUUUUUGGUUUUUAUGACAGUAAACUGAAUAUAUUUGGGUUUGACAUUUUAUAAACCAAAACAAGAAAUGAAUUACUGGAGAAAACGACAGAUUAAUGGACAAAGAAAAUGUGUUUUCUAACAUAUAUGGCUGAAUUACUCCAACAUUACAAGAUACAUACAAUUUGAAUUCAAUUUUAUUUAUAUAACGCCAAUUACAGGUCAAAUUGUCUCAAGAUGCUUUAUUUUUAUAUUUUUUUGUCAUAUUUAAAAUAUGACAAAGUAAGAAAUUUAAACCUCUUGACUAAUCCAAUUUAUUACUUGGUUUUUAAGAGACUAAUCGACAACUACAAUAACUUUCUCCGCUAAAACUAAUAAACAUGAGGUCAAAUAGAAGGAACAGUUUUAAAUACUGCAGUCCCAUGAUGACAAGAAUAAAGUUUGUCAAUAAAAAGUAAAUCUGCUGGUGGAUUCCAUUAAAGUCCUAAUAAAUGAUAAUAAAGUGUGAUACUAAAGGUUUGUGGUGCUAAAAAUGUCAAAGUAAAGAUAUCAAGUUGAACAUCUGGAUAGAGGUUGAUAAAAGUUGACCUUUCAUUUCUCUGGAGCGACUCCUUGGAUUUUAUGGAUGGUGGUUAAAGACCUGCUCUUCUAGUCGUCUUCCUUCUAGUCGCUGUAAAAAGUCCGUCCAUCCUGACUGACUUCAACACCUCUUCAUGACAGCUUGUUCUGCCUCCGACCUGGUGGAAACUCCAGAAACUCG